AUGCAGCCAUCCCUGUCCACCCUGUCCCUGCUGCAGGGACAGUACCAGCUGAGGCCCAAAUCUCCUGCUGAAGAGCUGAGAGAGAAAAUGGAAUAUCAAAGAAUCUUACCUUUCUCAGUACACUGGAAUGGUGUGCAUCGAGGUUUGUUGACAGAAUCACUGCAAGAAAAGGCAGAGAGCCUCCACAGUUCCCAGGGGACCCUGACACACAGACAAAAGGAAAUAGAGAAGGAGGACAAAGGAAGCAGGACUGAGAGGUGGGGACAGAGGGGUGUCCACAGGCACAGACCCAUACAUGAGCCUGAGAAGUGCUCUCCUGCCCGGGAAGAGGCUCAGCACAGAAAGAGGAAGGACAGCACAGCUGACAGCCGUGCUCAGAAAGUUUCUGGAUCAGGCUCAUCUCCCACAGAGGAGAACAUGCAGGCAGCACAGGCCACGGGGCCCCUCUCAGCCCCUUCCUGCACACUGCACAUCACCUGGAAGGAGCUCCUGCUCACAGCAUCACUUUUAAUCUUCUGGAACUACUUCCUGCCCAAGUCACAAUUGAAGCUCAGCCAACCAACAUUUCUGAAACGAUGUUCUUCUACUUGUACACAAUUUGCCCAGAAUCCUGCUGCCUACCAUCUGGUACAAAGGGCAAAUAGCUGGACCUCAGCAUUUACAUUUACAGCCAUAUGCAAUAGACACACAGAAAGAAUUGUAUUUGAGCCAUACAGUGGGCGAGAAAGAGUAUAUUCCAAUGCAUCCCUGAUGAUCCAGAGUGUGAACCAGAAGGACGCAGGAUCCUACACCGUAGAAAUCAUCAUAAAGCGAGGUGAUAGGACUGAAAGAGUAACUUGACAUUUCACCUUAUACGUGGAGACUCCCAAGCCCUACAUCUCCAGCAGCAACUUAAACCCCCGGGAGGCCAUGGAGACUGUGACCUUAUCCUGUGAUCCUGACACUCCGAACGCAAGCUACCGGUGGUGGAUAAAUGGUCAGAUCCUCCCUAUCAGUCCCAGGUUGCAGCUGUCCGAAAACAACAGGACUCUCAUUCUAUUUGGUGUCACAAGGCGUACCGCAGGACCCUAUGAAUGUGAAAUGAAGAGCCCAGUGAGUUCCAGCCGCAGUGACCCAGUCACCCUGAAUCCUGUCUAUGGUCCAGACGUCACCAGCAUUGUGUCUCCAUUCUCCUAUUACCUUAGAGGAGAAAACCUCCACUUGUACUGCUUCGCGGACUCUAACCCACCGGCAGAGUAUUCUUGGACGGUUAAUGGGAAGUUUCUGCAAUCAGGACAAGAGCUCUUUAUCCCCCGUAUUACUAUAAAGCAUAACGGACUCUAUCGUUGCUCUGCUCGUAACUCAGCCACUGGCAGGGAACGUUCCACAUUCAAGAAGAUCAAAGUCUCUCCUUCUAUAGGAUGAGGAAAGCUAUCCUGGAAUCAUCUGAUAGAGCAACAGUGAUGUCAUUUCUGUAUUUCAGACAGUUGCUUUGAUUCCUCCUGGAAGUAUUUACAGUCAGCUAUGGUCCAAAACUGCUUUUUCUUCAAGGAGCUAUAUGGAAAAGACUCUGACAAAGACUCUUGAAUACAAGUUUCUGAAAACUUCAAGAUAAUACCACUGGACUCUCUGAGAACUUUCAAAAUUCUAAUGAACAGGCUGAUACCUUCAUGAAAUUCAAGACAAAGAAGAAAAAACUCAGUUAUAUUGGGCUUAAUAAUCAAAAAGAUAAUGUUUUCAUAAUUUUUUAUUUGAAAAUGUGCUGAUUCUUUAAAUGUUUUAUUCUCCAGAUUUAUGAACUUUCUCUUUUAAGCUCUUUAUACUUUACAAUUAUUUGGUAAAUUAUACUUUUGUAAACAAAAAUGAAAAUAUUUGCUUUUUCUCCCAAUCUGAGUGCCCCAGAAUUGGGAAACUAUUCAUAGUAUUCAUGAGUAUUCAUUUGCUUAGGGUAAUAAAGAUAUUUGCACAAGUUUAGAGAGAAUCUACACUCUGUAUAACAGGACACAUUUGAAAACAUUGGUUAUAUAACCAAGGCUUUGACUGGGAUAUUCUAUUUGAGAAUAUACAUAGAAUAAACCCAUAGGGAAUGCAGGGAAAGUCUGAAGUUGGCCUUUGUUUGGCUUCCUAGUCUCAAGAGGUUUUUAUAAGUUUAAUCUGAGAAUCUUACAAAACUUCUAACAAAGCAAAGUUUAAAAAGAUCCUUUAUGGUCCAUUGCUACUCUUGUUGCACUUAGAUAAAGAAUCUAGGCAAGUUGGCUGAGACUCAACCUAUUUUGCAAACAAAUUCAUCCUACUGGAAUUAUCUUUGGAAAAAAUAGAGAAUCCUAUAUAGAGAAAAAUUAUGUUGAAAAGAAAAACUGUAGUACACCUGUUACCAGACUGAACCACUGCUCAUUAUCUUUGAGCAUUUAUAACCUACUGGUAGACUGGAGUGGACGCUGAAUUCUUUUAGUUCUUCCAAUUCAAUUUUCUCCAGUGAAACCAUUAAGAACAAGAACAGCUCUGUUCCUUAAAUCAUAUAAGCUAGAGGUGGACAACUCAAUGUAAAUUUCAUGGUACAACCCUCAUGUCUGAGGUGUGGGCCACUCAGAGCUCACCAAGUGUUCAACACCGUAACUUAGAGAUACUUAAACUGCAAAGCACAACAGCAAGUUGAUGACUGUACACUGUAGACAGCUUUUUUCAAGAUAUCAGAA